GCCUGGGUGGCUCAGUGGGUUAAGUGUCUGAUUUUGGCUCAGGUCAUGAUCUCACGGUUCAUGGGUUCGAGCCCCAUGUCGGGCU
rnacentral:tRNA from 1 species